rnacentral:rRNA from 1 species
AGAGUUUGAUCCUGGCUCAGAUUGAACGCUGGCGGCAGGCCUAACACAUGCAAGUCGAGCGGUAACAGGGAUAGCUUGCUAUCUGCUGACGAGCGGCGGACGGGUGCGUAACACGUAGGAAUCUGCCCGGUAGUGGGGGAUAGCCCGAAGAAAUUCGGAUUAAUACCGCAUACGCCUUACGAGGGAAAGCAGGGGAGUCUUCGGAUCCUUGCGCUAUCGGAUGAGCCUGCGUCGGAUUAGCUAGUUGGUGGGGUAAAGGCCUACCAAGGCGACAAUCCGUAGCUGGUCUGAGAGGAUGAUCACCCACACUGGGACUGAGACACGGCCCAAACUCCUACGGGAGGCAGCAGUGGGGAAUAUUGCACAAUGGGCGAAAGCCUGAUGCACCCAUGCCGCGUGUGUGAAGAAGGCCUUAGGGUUGUAAAGCACUUUCAGCGAGGAGGAAAGGUGGUAAGUUAAUACCUUGCCACUGUGACGUUACUCGCAAAAAAAGCACCGGCUAACUCCGUGCCAGCAGCCGCGGUAAUACGGAGGGUGCGAGCGUUAAUCGGAAUUACUGGGCGUAAAGCGUGCGUAGGCGGCUGCCUAAGUUGGAUGUGAAAGCCCCGGGCUCAACCUGGGAACUGCAUCCAAAACUGGGCAGCUAGAGUGCGGAAGAGGAGUGUGGAAUUUCCUGUGUAGCGGUGA